AGCCCCUCUGCGCGGCCAGCCGCCCCGUCCGGGAGGGAGGUGGGGGGGUCAGCCCCCCGCCCGGCCAGCCGCCCCGUCCGGGAGGGAGGUGGGGGGGUCAGCCCCCCGCCCAGCCAGCCGCCCCGUCUGGGAGGUGAGGGGCGCCUCUGCCCGGCCGCCCCUACUGGGAAGUGAGGAGCCCCUCUGCCCGGCCAGCCGCCCCGUCCGGGAGGGAGGUGGGGGGGUCAGCCCCCCACCCGGCCAGCCGCCCCGUCCGGGAGGUGAGGGGAGCUUCUGCCCGGCCGCGCCUACUGGGAAGUGAGGAGCCCCUCUGCCCGGCCAGCCGCCCCGUCCAGGAGGGAGGUGGGGGGGUCAGCCCCCCACCCGGCCAGCCGCCCCGUCCGGGAGGUGAGGGGCGCCUCUGCCCGGCCGCGCCUACUGGGAAGUGAGGAGCCCCUCUGCCCGGCCACCACCCCGUCUGGGAGGUGUACCCAACAGCUCAUUGAGAACGGGCCAUGAUGACAAUGGCGGUUUUGUAGAAUAGAAAGGGGGGAAAGGUGGGGAAAAGAUUGAGAAAUCGGAUGGUUGCCGUGUCUGUGUAGAAAGAGGUAGACAUGGGAGACUUUUCAUUUUGUUCUGUACUAAGAAGAAUUCUUCUGCCUUGGGAUCCUGUUGAUAGGUGACCUUACCCCCAACCCUGUGCUCUCUGAAACAUGUGCUGUAUCCACUCAGGGUUGAAUGGAUUAAGGGUGGUGCAAGAUGUGCUUUGUUAAACAGAUGCUUGAAGGCAGCAUGCUCCUUAAGAGUCAUCACCACUCCCUAAUCUCAAGUACCCAGGGACACAAACACUGCGGAAGGCCGCAGGGUCCUCUGCCUAGGAAAACCAGAGACCUUUGUUCACUUGUUUAUCUG
rnacentral:lncRNA from 1 species